rnacentral:tRNA from 2 species
GGUGCCAUCGAAUAAUUGGUUAAUUCACUUAGCCUUCACUUAAGGAACACCGGUUCGAAUCCGGUUGGUGCUA